rnacentral:rRNA from 1 species
UAUUUGUAUAUCAUUAAAUUUAAAAGAUUUGGCGGUAAAUUAUUUAAUUAGAGGAACUUGUUUUGUAAUCGAUACUCCACGUUUAAUUUUUCCUGUGCUUGUUGAUCAAUUUAUAUACCGUUGUUUAUGAAAAUUUUUAUUGAAUUUAAAUUUUCCUAUUAAAUUUUUUAGUAAAAUCAAGUCAAGGUGUAGUUUAUGCAUAGGUUUAUAAUGAGUUACUAUUAUAAAUAAUAGUAGAGUAUAUUUUGAAAUUUAAUUUAUGAAAAAGGAUUUAUUAGUAAUAAGUAAUUAAAUAGUAUUUAUGAAUUAUAUACUAAUUUAUGU